AUGCAAACACUGACUGAGUCUGUGCUCUGGGCCUUUCCCGUGGGCGGGGGCCUUCCACAGGGACAGCACGACGACAGCGCUCACAGCGGGCAUGGGGAGCGGCCCGCAGGCCCGGCGGGGGAGCCACAUGGGGCCGCGUGGUGGGUCCUGCUGGGGGGCGGCCAGCCUGGCGGUGCUCAGGUGAUCCCAUCACACCUGCCACUGCGACUCCGGGUUCAGGCUUCCCACCCGCUGCUCAGUACCGGGGAGUCCACGGGAGCCACGUCCCACCGGCACCCGGCGCUCCUGUGCCUGGGCCCCGACCAAGGCCAGCGUGCCCUGGGCAGCCCUUCCUGGGCCUCCUGCCGCCCGCCAGCCCCCCACCUGCCCCAGCACACCUGGAGCUGCCCCGCCUCAGCGUCGCCCCCCAGCAUCUCUGUGCCUUCUGGGCCGUCGCUGCACCUCCCGACCCGGCUCUCCGGGAGCCUCCGCCCCCGCUCUCCCAGCUUCCCCGCGGGGCUCCAGCCGCAGCAGGUGGGCACUCUCGGGGCCACCGGGCCAAUCCCCAAUCUCCGCAUCACGACCCAGAUUUUCUCCAUUAACGGGAUCGAUUUCCUGUGCGCAACCGCUGGGAACAAAGGCAGCCUCAGCAGCUCGGCAGUCCAUCAAGCCCUGGCAGCCCCCGGGGACUGGCCACGGGCGGACACUGGAUCUCGGAUCUGGAAGUGAGCGUCCGUACGUCAGUCAGCCUGACCGCACCCCAGAGCUCCCGGGAGGGGGUACGCUGGCUCCAGAAGAGGCCCUGAAGACCCAAAUGGAAGCUCUCCUCUUCUACCAGGCAAAGUUCUAUCGUGUCCCCCUACACGCCCUUCCCUAAGGUGGAUUCCGGGAUUGGAAUCCUGGAUUAGAUCAGAUGGCUUCAGCCACAGUUUUUUCUCACAGUUCUGGAAGCUGGGAAAUGCAAAAUCAAGGUGCUGGCAGAUUCCAUGUCUGGUGAGAGCCCACUUCCUAGUUCAUAGACGCCAGGAAGCCUUCUCAGUGUGUCCUUAUGUGGUGGGAGGGGCUAGGGAGCUCUCUGGGGUCUCUGAUAAAAACACUAAUCCUAUUCCCAAGGGCCCCACCCCCAAGACCUAACUGCCUCCCAAAGGCCCUGCCUCCUAACAUCAUCACCUUGGGAGUUAGGUCAACAUAUGAGUUUUGGGGAGACGUAGAUACCCAUUCCUUAUCUUAAGCCUUGUCAAAAUCCUAAAAGAUAAACUUCAUAAUCCCAAUUUACAGACCAGGAAGCUGAAGCUCAAGGGUGCAUGGGUAGGAUGUAAGCAGGUCUGGCUCCAGAGCCGUGCCUUCUCUAGCACCGUGCUGUGUCUGGGGAACACGCAAAACCUCCUCCUCCAUUGCUCCUGUCUGAGCAUUACAGACACACGGACACCUUGACCUCCUGGCAGAGGUCCAAAAAAAUCUAUAGGGAAAGUGCCAGCGUGAAUUCUCACUUUCCUUCCUUAACUUCUGCCUCCCUCCUCCCUGCCGCUUCCUGGUCUCGGCAAUCCCAGUCUCCUUUCCUUACCCCCACUCGUCCCAGAAAAAUCCCAAAAAGGCUUCACGUGACUCUAUUUAAAUCCCCACUUUCAGCACUAGAACCGGUUCUGCUUUCCUGGUGCGCUCUGGGUCUCCAUCUGGUUUGGAGGCUAUUUUGAUCUGCCGGAUGCAGAUUAGCUGCCGUGAUCUGGGCUGAGCUGCUGGAGAGAUGCCUUUAUCUACAGAAGGACAAUUUAAAAACGAACUCAAAGCACAGAGAACAAAUAAAUAAAUUCCUCUUCCUGUCCCCA
rnacentral:lncRNA from 12 species